rnacentral:misc_RNA from 1 species
CUUUGUUAUUGUUGAAUAUAUUUUGGAUUUGAAGAAAUUCUAUGAUAAGUGGAAGUGCUAGUAUCUGAAAAAGUAACCAAUAAGGAAAAUUAAAGAAAUAAGAAAAUGACUUCCGUCGCUUCUUGUUUCCUUUUGUCACAUACGAGAAAUUGUUGUGGGUGCACAUCUUGGUGAAACCAACAUCUUGUCUCUAAGAUGAGGUGUUGAUGAUUACUUGGUCCUCGAUUUUCUUUUUCCUUCCUGCUGUCACUGUAAAGGAUAUCUUUGAUUUAGAAUGCUAGUCUGUGGGGCAUUUUGACAGUGUGCAUGCUUGUGUUGUUGCUUUUCUUUUCGUUGGUGCCAUGGUGGGUAGCAAUGGCACAUAUUUGAUAUCUUAUUUCAUAUCUAGCAUGCACUUUAAUUCAUUGCUUUUAUUGCAUUCUUUUUGUGUGUUGAUCAGUACAUCCUCAAGGUGGG